AUGGGAAGUAUGAGUAUGAAUCCAUUAUUUAGAAGUGAAUCUUUUGGAUACUAUAACUACUUCCCUGACCAGAACUACACCAUGAUGGAGAAGAGACAGUUGUUCCUAAGAAGCUACCAGUUCUGUAGAAAGAAAAGUCUGACAGAGAGAAUCAAAGGCUCCUUAAUCCGUGCUAAGAAAGUUGUUUGGUUAAAGCUAAGACAUGCUCGUGGAUUAAGAAAGUUGGUGUUUUUUCCCAGGUUUAAAUGCGCUUUCUAUUACCGUAGAAGAAGGUUCUUUUCCCAGCUUUUAAACACUAGUAGUAAUAGCCACAAACUCAAAACUGAAUCUUCAACAUGUUUAUGGUAA